rnacentral:rRNA from 1 species
AAAAGUUUAAUGGCUUAAUCUUGCUUUACUGUUUGACUUACACGUCUAUCAGUUGCGUAAGCAGGGCAUAUGAUCACAAGAUGCAUAAAGGAAAGGUCUUGGAUUUUUGAAAAAGCUACGCUAGGGAUAACAGGCUAAUUGCGCCAGAGAGUACAAAUUGAGUGCGCAGUUUGGCACCUCGAUGUCGGCUUAGCUCAUCCACAUGAAUGCAGAAAUCAUGAAGGGUACGACUGUUCGUCGAUUAAAGAGCUACACGAGCUGGGUUAAAUACGUCGUGAGACAGUAUGGUUUCUAUCUUCUAGAGGAAAUUAGAGUAAAAUAAGGAUAGCCCCUUCGUACGAAAGGAGUUGG